CCUUCCAGCCGGCGGUCCGGCUUCGCAUCAACCUGGCAGCACUGAGGGUGACUGUCAAGCUGCCGAGCGGCUCGGUGACAUAACAGCUCCUGUGUCUGUUAGCCAAAACAAGUGGGGGGUGAGGCGGGAUACGUCUGCUGCGGACUGAGCUGUCACCGAACACCGGGCAGCUGAGCGUUGGUCCGCGGUCAGCCCCAUGCUAACGCUAGCAGCCGCUGACAUUCCUCCAGUCGCUGCUUCUGGGUGUUUGCUUCAUCCCACAGACCUGCUUCCAUUAGACGCUGGUCCGGCCGUAGACGACUGUCAGUGGGUGCGAUGCCCUCUUCUUGUUCGUUCAAAGUCAAAGCCAGGGAGGAGAAAAAGUGCAUGUUCUCUGCAUUAUCGCUGAGCCUCCACACCCUUGGCUGCUGUCCACUAUUUUGGCACUCUCCAUCUUGUCGUCCCAGGUUCCUGACAGGAUGUAACGAGCUGUGCCCUCUCUGUCCUCAACCACUCCGGUCACCUGGAGACACCAGAGAAGAAGACAAACAGAUGGAGCGAUAUCCAUAUUCCUCCAGUCGGUCCAGCUCAUAAGUCUCCCCCAGCAGAGGGUUGAAGGGCUUGGCUGUGCGAUGCACUGUGGUGGAGUACGAGGAGACAGAAAAGGCCGCCACCAGGCACAUCUGCUCCAGAGACGAGUCGCAGCGGGCCGCUCGGUCCAGAAGCUCGCUGUACUCCAGAUCCUCAGUCAGACGCUGCAGCAUCGACAACGGCUCAUUGAAGUUUACCUGCAACGACGCACACAAUCACAAAAGGUUUCUUAUAAAUGGACACUGGAGCAUCUGAGACAAACCGGUGACUCAUUGAUGGGAACACACCCACAGGUGAAGAGACACCACCGAUGUGGACACAGUGUGGGAAGAGAGAACAGGAGUGUUAAAAUCAGUGGAUGCACUAGAAGCUGAUGAAGCAAUAAAAGACCAACACAGUUUUAUACUGAACGCUUUCUGAAGAAAAAACCUGAGCCCUGACGUUUCCUCAGAUUCACUAUCACACGUGCUCAACUCGAGACUCCAUAUGUAAUACUUGUCAGAGCGGUUUGGAUUUUGACACAACAAACCUUUUACACAUGAAUAAUUAAAAAAAGGAAAGCCUGUAGUGGUUAAAUGUUGCAUCAUCCACUUAAUUAUUGCUGAGCUAAUCCAGUUAUAGCCAAUGAAUUUGCUCUGCUAUUGUUGCCACUCUGCCCUGGACCAGAGGCUCAUGUAGUAAUAAAUUGUAAAUCACAGCACACACAUUUGCGUCUGCACUUGCACAAAAAUAAAAACACAUUCUGUUUAAUAUUGUGUGAAAUGGACCAUAUUAGUAAUAUUUGCACAAUAUAAACAGACAGAUCAGAUUAGUAGGAUAUAUAAAACUUUGCAUAGUCAAAACAUACAGUGACAGCACUGUAAACACAAUUUCUGAACCAUGUGAAAUUUCAGAUAGACAAAAUAAUCUUCCAAAGGGCUCAGCUCUUUAAAUCCCCUUCAGUAUUUCAGGUGUGAUACCAGUCCAUUGCUUUACAAUGAUAGAUGCAGCAUGAACACAUAACACAUCAGUCGUGGUCUUGUUACACUAAUGUGGCCACAGAAGAAACACUGAUUUGCAUCUUGCAGGUUCAAAGCUUUGACUCAUCAAUCACGGAUGCUUACAGAGGCACAGCUCCAAGAAAUGAUUCCUCUAGCUGCUGUGUUUAGUAAUAGAAUGAGGAGUAGGAUUCAAAUCAGUUGCAGACAAACAAGACAAAUAUGUCACACUUAACUUUCAGGCAAAUUCGGUGCCAUGAGGAAUCUGAUCAGCACGUUUACACAAACAUUUGCACAGAAUACAGUCUUAUUUCAGGUUAUUGCAAAACUUAAUAAACUCCAAAAACAUACACACAAUUACAAACACACAUGCACGCAGGCAAGCAUGAGGGCACACAGACAGCUUCUGUAACGUUGUAUCGAAUCUUGUUGUCGGUAAAAUGACAAUAAACAUGUUACU